UACGUAGGGACCUAGCGUUGUCCGGAAUCAUUGGGCGUAAAGCGCGCGUAGGCGGCCCGGUAAGUCCGUUGUAAAAGUCGAAGGCUCAACCUUCGAAAGCCGAUGGAUACUGCCGGGCUAGAGUACGGAAGAGGCGAGUAGAAUUCCUGGUGUAGCGGUGGAAUGCGCAGAUAUCAGGAGGAAUACCCAUAGCGAAGGCAGCUCGCUGGGACGUUACUGACGCUGAAGCGCGAAAGCUAGGGGAGCGAACGGG
rnacentral:rRNA from 1 species